CUUUAUGGCUUCUGUGACAAAUGUAUUAAAUAUACCCUCAUCAACUAGUUGACAUUAGUGUUUUAGUUGAAUUUGAAUCGGCACCAUGAAGGCAUAUCAAAUCUGUUUCUUGGCAUUGUCAUGCGUUGCUUUGGCAGCCGCAUCUGUUAUUAGAGCUGACGAACCGAGCAACGAUCCUCCACCAGUUCCGUUUUGCCCAGCGGUAUGCUUGUGGAACGACAUAUACAACUUCCCACAUUUCACCAACUGCAACCGUUAUUAUCACUGCAUUCAUGGUUUCUUCUUUGACUUUGCCUGCCCGCAGGGACAGGAAUUCGAUCAUGUCGAACUGCGUUGUUUGCCAGCAGACGAGGCUCGAUGCAUUUUCGAAGGACCAAUUGAAUCAUAAACAGUUGUAAUAAAUAGUAUUCGAAUUUAAUUAUAAUUAUUGACUGUUCCGGUU